rnacentral:rRNA from 1 species
UACGGGGGGGGCAAGCGUUGUUCGGAAUUACUGGGCGUAAAGGGCGCGUAGGCGGCCUGCUAAGUCGGAUGUGAAAUCCCUCGGCUCAACCGAGGAACUGCAUCCGAUACUGGCGGGCUUGAAUCCGGGAGAGGGAUGUGGAAUUCCAGGUGUAGCGGUGAAAUGCGUAGAUAUCAAGAGGAACACCUGCGGCGAAGGCGGGUUGCUGGGCCGACACUGACGCUGAGGCGCGAAAGCUAGGGGAGCGAACGGG